GACGAACCGUGCGAACGUUGUUCGGAAUCACUGGGCGUAAAGCGCACGUAGGCGGAUUGUUAAGUCAGGGGUGAAAUCCUGGAGCUCAACUCCAGAACUGCCUUUGAUACUGGCGAUCUUGAGUCCGGGAGAGGUGAGUGGAACUGCGAGUGUAGAGGUGAAAUUCGUAGAUAUUCGCAAGAACACCAGUGGCGAAGGCGGCUCACUGGCCCGGUACUGACGCUGAGGUGCGAAAGCGUGGGGAGCAAACAGG
rnacentral:rRNA from 1 species